rnacentral:rRNA from 1 species
UUUUAUGGAGAGUUUGAUCCUGGCUCAGGAUGAACGCUGGCGGCGUGCCUAAUACAUGCAAGUCGAGCGAACGGACGAGAAGCUUGCUUCUCUGAUGUUAGCGGCGGACGGGUGAGUAACACGUGGAUAACCUACCUAUAAGACUGGGAUAACUUCGGGAAACCGGAGCUAAUACCGGAUAAUAUUUUGAACCGCAUGGUUCAAAAGUAAAAGACGGUCUUGCUGUCACUUAUAGAUGGAUCCGCGCUGCAUUAGCUAGUUGGUAAGGUAACGGCUUACCAAGGCAACGAUGCAUAGCCGACCUGAGAGGGUGAUCGGCCACACUGGAACUGAGACACGGUCCAGACUCCUACGGGAGGCAGCAGUAGGGAAUCUUCCGCAAUGGGCGAAAGCCUGACGGAGCAACGCCGCGUGAGUGAUGAAGGUCUUCGGAUCGUAAAACUCUGUUAUUA